rnacentral:rRNA from 1 species
UCCUACGGGAGGCAGCAGUGGGGAAUAUUGGGCAAUGGAGGAAACUCUGACCCAGCGACGCCGCGUGCGGGAUGAAGGCCUUCGGGUUGUAAACCGCUUUCAGUAGGGAAGAAGCGAAAGUGACGGUACCUACAAAAGAAGCACCGGCUAACUAUGUGCCAGCAGCCGCGGUAAUACAUAGGGUGCAAGCGUUGUCCGGAAUUAUUGGGCGUAAAGAGCUCGUAGGUGGUUCGAUACGUCGGAUGUGAAAAUCAGGGGCUCAACCCCUGACCUGCAUUCGAUACGGUCGAGCUAGAGUUUGGUAGGGGAGACUGGAAUUCCUGGUGUAGCGGUGGAAUGCGCAGAUAUCAGGAGGAACACCGAUGGCGAAGGCAGGUCUCUGGGCCAAUACUGACACUGAGGAGCGAAAGCGUGGGGAGCGAACAGGAUUAGAUACCCUGGUAGUCCACGCCGUAAACGGUGGGCGCUAGUUGUGCGAACCUUCCACGGUUUGUGCGACGCAGCUAACGCAUUAAGCGCCCCGCCUGGGGAGUACGGCCGCAAGGCUAAAACUCAAAUGAAUUGACGGA